rfam:Plesiomonas shigelloides 302-73 genomic scaffold scaffold00002, whole genome shotgun sequence.
UUUGGCGUUCGGCUUACGGGCAAUAAUGCCAUUCCCCACCGCGUGCAGCAGGUGCGUUUUACCCAGACCCGUACCGCCGUA